AAUCCUUUUGGUAGUGAAAAAGAUAGCUUAACAAAAUUAAACAAAAAUCAAAAUCCUUAAUAAUCCAAAUGCUGAAAAAAGAACUAUAAAGAAUUCAGCAUCUAUGCUUGCCUCAACUGGAAGAUUUUAAAACUAUAUAAUUUUCAACGAGGCUAAUGAACUAUUUAUUACAACCAUGAUAUGUACUUGUUUGAGCUGUUUAAGCUUUUUGUUUUGUCAUUUUAACUAGAGAUCACAAAAGUUGAGUUGGAUUAGACCGAAUUGAAUUGAGUUAAACUAAGAAAAUCUUUAGAACUAGUAUUUUUGUGAAAAAAUUAUUAAAAAUAAUAAUUAUAAUACUUAUGCAAUUGCUAAUAAAAGUAAUUAAAAAAAAAAAAAACAGAAACUAGCCGUUGGGGCUCACAAAAUCAAAUGUUUUUUCUUCAUUAAAGACAGACAAACAAAUCUCUUCUUCUUCAUCCUUAAAAAUACCCAUUCUCUUUCCUUCUCUCUCUAAAUACUCCUCCCUCUCUCUCUCUCUCUCUCUCUCUCAACACUCCUCUCUCUCUCUCUUUCUCUGAUUCUGUUUGAAAAGCUUGCCGCAUUGUUCUUAUCUUGAGAAUUCCGUGAGUAUUGAAUUUAUUUCCUUAAGAUGCACGCUUAAAUUGAAGGAGACACUGUGUUUCAUGAUCAUUUUCUUUUAUGUAAAUUGGAUACUAUCAUUUUAGAAAUGGCAGGUUUUACCAAAUGUUUUGUCGCUCUGUUACUAACUUUCUUUUCUCUUUUUCUUUAGAAACUUUUGGUGCUGGUUUUUUUUUCUUUUUUCUUAUUUUUUAUAUUAGAGGCUAUUUUUCUUUCUUUUUCUUCUUAGAUUUCGUUGCGAUUGAAUUAAUCUCUUUAUUUUGAGACGAGUGUAUUGUUGCUUAAUCUGGAUCUGCUGUUACUGUUUAUCAAAAUUGUAAAUUAUUAUGACAAUAGACAACAAAGGAGGCUUUUCAUUUUUAAAAAAAUGGGUGGAAAAUCAGGAUGUAUAUUAAAGUAGAUCACUUGAUUUUGUAGUUUCCUUUUGUAACUUCAUUAACUGAUCUUUUGAGUACUGGCCUGGGUGCAGACGGCACAGAGAGACUUUACAAUUAAGAUUCUUGAUUAGAGAUUUAUAAUGAAAAUGUCAGGGAUCUGCUGAAUUCAGAAUCAGGUCGAAUUCUAGAUGACCCAGAGGCAUACGCAUUUCUUUCUUUCUUUCUUUUUUCUGAAAGAGUAGAUUUUCUAUUAGGUGUUAUCUCAACUGCUGGUUAUUUUGUGGUUCUCAUAUGCAGAAAGUUGCUGUGGUCGAGAAGUUGGUGGAAGAAACCACAACCAAUGAUCAACAUUUGAGCCAUCUUAUAAGUAUGCGUGACUAGUGAAGAACUGUAUCUUUGUGUUGGUGUAGCUUCCUUUGCCGCUGCAAGCAUUAGAAUAACAGUUUAUUAACCUUUCUGAAAUCACCCAUGAUUAUUAAAAUUUCGAAGACCUUGCUGGAAGUGAAACAGCUUCACAGACAUGCAGAUGGGGCUCAGAGAAUAUCAUUAAGAUAUUAUAUGCAUUAAAUGGGAGCAUGGCUUGAUUUUACUUUACUAAGUUGCUGAAACUAUAAGAGGUGCCGAUAUUGGUAAAUUUGAUAUUAUUCAAUCUUAGUUUGAUGACUCUGAUAACUGUGAUAAGAAAGCUCAGGGAUGGGAAAAGAAGCGGUCAUAUACCCCUGCCGGGACUCCAACUUCCCAGCAAGUUUUGGAAAAUGGGAUUGAAAACAGAGCACCGGAAAAUGAAGACUUCAUUUCAUAUCCGGUGAGACCCAGACAGAGUCUGAGAAAGAGACUCCUACAAAAAGUGAAGAAUGUGGAGACGUUUCAUCAAAGGAAGGAACUCCAUGCUAUUGUCGUUCUAGUUCAGUUAAUAUGAAGAAAAUGCAACAGAGGAGAACGUGAGAAGCAUAAGAGCUUAUGUGACAGAAUUGAAGGAACAUGUUGCCAAACUGCAAUACCACAAGCAGCUACUUGUUUGCUAUAUAGUAUUUGCAGUUCAUUUGGUCCUCUACUACUAUAUUGGCCUGUUAUUUUCAUUUGAAUUUAUGUAGUAACUUAGUACCAGGAAAUUCAUUUUCAUAUUCUUCAUGCUGGAAGCAAAUGAAGCGGCAUUUGGCAAUUCAAGUCCUGCUCCUCGUGCUGGAGAUGAGCUUACAAUUUCACUAUCGUCAAGGUUUUUCUCUCUUUUUAGCCUACGAACUGACACAUUGGUUGGAGCUGUAAUGCUUAAACUAAUUUUCUCUUAUGUCUUGCUUAAACUAACUCGAGCAAUGAGACGUGAAAGAGAGUUUCUGGCAAAGAGGUUGACUUCACGUUUAAAUGCCGACGAGAGAGAGGGGCGUACAUGAAAUGGGGAAGCAGAGGAAACUGCAGUUUGUGAACAAAUCCACAUAUACACAUGAAAGUGCUAAGAUAGUCUGGCAAAGCUUGUAGGAUUCUGCGAGAUUCCAUUUGAGCUAAAGUUUGCACUACCAACAGAUAAGAGACCCUGAAUUAUGGGUGGAACCCAAUUUCAAACCUUCUACAUUUGUGAGAAUUACAUUUCUCAUUUGUAAGUAUUUCCUAUUUCUGUACGUGUAAAAUGAAUUUUAGAGGUUUUUUGUCCAUGUAUCAUUUAUUUAUAUCUUUACUUUUACUCAAAUUAUGGUGUGAUAGGUUGUGCAUAGGAAGAGGGUUUGGAUAUGGCAAUCUUCAUAUAUUUCAAGCAAGCAUUUCCUCUAUUGAUUGUUUGAUACCAGCAGGACAUUGUUGAAGAAGCCUUCAGGACCAUCUAUCCACCAGUAACAGGUUGUUCCUUUUCCAGUAUUAUCUCUAUUUCAAACUUAUCAUCUUUACUUUUCUUCUUUUUUAUAUUCUUUAAUGAGUUCAAAUUACAUUACUAUAUUAUAUAAUUGUAUAAUAUAGGAUCUGAAUUGAAACAAACAUAUGAGUAGUAAAUUAAGAAAACCUAACAAAAUUUAUUAAAGAAAGCAAGUCGAUUUUAACUAAAGAUAAUUAAAAUUUCUAUUACAAUGGUCCUAAUUGACAUGAUAUUGUUUGAGCCAUUUGAUAAGUAUUUAUAAUAGUAACCCAGUGAAAACACUUUAUUUUUGUGUCGGGUUAGCUUCCUUUGCACCGCAAAUAUUAAAUUAACAGUUUAUUAACUUAUUACUAAUAGUGCUUAUUAGCUUAGCUUUAGUAUUAUUUUUAUAUUGAAUGUUUCUUUCUUAAUUUGCUUUUAAUCAUUUUCAUUAUAUAAUUUGUUUGUUUAUUGCUUCUUAGUUAAUUUCCUUUACUAACCUAAAAUCUUUUCAGAGUGACAGGUUCUACUUACCUGAUUUAGAGAUCAUAACUGAUCUUUUUUGGACUUUUAGAAUUAGUUUUAGUUAAUUAAUUAGUUAAAUUUCUUGUUUUUGAUGUUUUUAAGCAAUGAUUGUAAUUAAUUCCUCCCCUUAAUCGCCCCAAUCUCCUUAAUCCUUUUCUGGAUUUCUCUUUUCUCCUCCCCCCUUCUAUGUAUGUUUUAUUUUAUUGCUUUUAGGUUUUUACCACAUAUAUAAGGAAUUAAAAUCAACUUAAAAUUUAUGGGUGAUCACUCACAUGCUUAUAAGAUGAACAUGAAUCCGGCACCUAGAUUUAGGUAAUAAAAUUGUAUUCACCUUGCUUGUAAAGAUAAAAUUUAAGAUACCAAAGUACCUCCCGCUAGGGCUAAUUGGGGUACCAAUUAG